UUGGUGAGUGGACUGAGUACUUCAUACAUAACACAUGAUCACAAUCUAAGUUUUACAAUAUGUGUACUGACUAAAAAAAAGAUAAAUCUAUGGGUACAAGAUAUGGUAACAGUUGAGUCUUAAUCUUUUCUUAUUCUAUAUUUGCAGGUGUGUGCCACAGCCACUGACAUUGAAAGGAUGGUAAUGCUACCAAGCACACCAAGAUAAUGUUGAUGUCUUCUUAAUUUUUUUUUAAUGCAUUUCACACCAUCAAGUCAUGCUUUUUUGGUACUGAUCCAGCGAGUGUCUCUUUGCUGUGCACACUCAUCUGGUAGAACUACACUUUUGUCCUUUAUCCCUAACUUCCUCAAAAACAUUAUCCCUCCAGCUCUUAAUCUCCUCCUGGCUAAAUCAAAUUGUAAACAGUGAAUUUGUUUUACAUCUUCACAUCUAUGUGUGGAAUUGUGAGCUCUCUGUUGUGGUCUGAUCUCAGCUCCAGUAGUUACUUCCUUUUCCAGCGAGUCGAGAACAUGUUGAGGUACCUGAAAUGAAAAUGUCAAUAUUUAAAAUCUGGUAAGGACGCCUCCAGGCACGUCCAGCUGGGAGGAGGCCUCAGGGAAGAUCCAGGACUAGGUGGAGAGAUUAUAUCACCACACUAGCCUGGGAACACCUCGGGAUCCCCCAGUCAGAGCUGGUUAAUGUGGCUCGGGAAAGAGAAGUUUGGGGUCCCCUGCUGGAGCUGCUGCCCCCGCGACUCGACCCCAGAUAAGCGGAUGAAGAUGGAUGGAUGGUUUUCUGAAAAUGGCUGAUUCUGAUUUUCUUUCUUUCUAAGAACAUUAACUAAGAGCAUUCACAAAUAUUUUCAUAACUUCUCUUUAAAGAAAAAUUAUUUUAUUCAUACUCUGAAUCCACACAGGGAAAGCCUGCACCAUAUUGAGGUAGUCUAGUCAAUGCUUGUGCUGACAACAGACGUGCCACAGCGCGUUCCAGAAGCAGCUCUCCACUAGUAUGGAGUUACUUAGUGAAGAUCCUAUGUGGACUCUUAAACAUCUGGAGCCGGUUGCACCAACAGGGCUUACGCCUGGGCUUAAGAGUGUCACUGGCACUGAGCCGUCGCCUUCCACGAUCUGCUCACCUCCCCACUGAGGCCGAGUGUGCGGUGAUGAAACACAGAUUCCUCCGGGCCUCUGACAUUCCUGGUAUUGUGGGCUGCAUCGAUGGGACUCACAUC